GGCGACCGGCGCACGGGUGCGUAACGCGUAUGUAACCUACCUAUAACAGGGGCGAUAACACUGAGAAAUUGGUACUAAUUCCCCAUAAUAUUCGGAGAGGCAUCUCUCCGGGUUGAAAACUCCGGUGGUUAUAGAUGGACAUGCGUUGUAUUAGCUAGUUGGUGAGGUAACGGCUCACCAAGGCAACGAUACAUAGGGGGACUGAGAGGUUAACCCCCCACACUGGUACUGAGACACGGACCAGACUCCUACGGGAGGCAGCAUG
rnacentral:rRNA from 1 species